rnacentral:tRNA from 1 species
GAGGGUGUAGCUCAGUGGUAGAGCAUGUGCUUAGCAUGCACAAGGUCCUGGGUUCAAUCUCCAGUACCUCCG